ACCUGGCUGGCUCAGUCAGAGUUUGUGACUCUUGAUCUCAGGGUUGUGAGUUCAAGCCCCAUGCUGGGUA
rnacentral:tRNA from 1 species